rnacentral:rRNA from 1 species
AUGAACGCUGGUGGCGUGCCUAAUACAUGCAAGUCGAGCGAACAGAUGAGGAGCUUGCUCCUCUGACGUUAGCGGCGGACGGGUGAGUAACACUUGGAUAACCUACCUAUAAGACUGGGAUAACUUCGGGAAACCGGAGCUAAUACCGGAUAAUAUAUUGAACCGCAUGGUUCAAUAGUGAAAGUCGGUUUUGCUGUCACUUAUAGAUGGAUCCGCGCCGCAUUAGCUAGUUGGUAAGGUAACGGCUUACCAAGGCAACGAUGCGUAGCCGACCUGAGAGGGUGAUCGGCCACACUAGAACUGAGACACGGUCCAGACUCCUAAGGGAGGCAGCAGUAGGGAAUCUUCCGCAAUGGGCGAAAGCCUGACGGAGCAACGCCGCGUGAGUGAUGAAGGUCUUCGGAUCGUAAAACUCUGUUAUUAGGGAAGAACAAAUGUGUAAGUAACUAUGCACGUCUUGACGGUACCUAAUCAGAAAGCCACGGCUAACUACGUG